GGGUUCUGUAUCUUCGUGCAUAAGAGUAGCGCUCACUGAAACCCCGACCCCUUCUGACACGCUUAGGUGAUUCAUCAGGAGAAACACUUCUUGACAUAUUUCUACCUCGAUCAGUAGGUGACCUUACCCGUCGAACAGCAGUGGGGCUCCUUGAAUAACUACGACGAUAAUAACUACUUGGUUCCCUUAAUGGACUUCUGCUGAUGCUUCUCCUAGGAGGAGCCCUAGCAGAGCUCCUACUUAUGCUUCUCCUAGAAGAUCUUACAGGACUUCCGCUAAUGCUUCUCCUAGAUCUUAUGGGGCUUCUGCUAAUGCUUCUCCGAGAUCUUGCAGGACUUCCACUUCUGCUUCUUUUUGAAAGUCUAACCGGGCUUCUACUAAUUGAUUUUCUUGUUGACUUGAGUGGACUCCUACUUGGGCUUCUUCGGGACUGCAACAGGGACCUUACAGGGCUCCUGCUAAUGCUUCUUCUAGAAUGUCCUCUAACUGGGCUCCUACUGAUGCUUCUAUCUUUUCUCGUCCUAGAUGGGCUUAUUCUGAUGCUUCUAGCAGGACUCCUGCUUAAACUUCUUUCUAGAAAACGCGGGGGAUUCCUACUUGCAACUGGGCUCCUGCUCACACUUCGGCUUCGGCUAAGACUUGGGCUCCGGCUAUGAGUCCUCCAUGGACUAAUACUCAUACUCUUACUCAUGGUCCUCUUAGGACUCGCACUUCUGCUCCUGCUCAUCAACUUUUAAUAAAAUACCGGAUUGGGAAGAAUCAGCAAGUACAAAGAAUAACCUAAGGCGAAGAAUGAAAAGUAGACCUAGAUUUGCUCGGGCGAUCAUCUACCACAUCAGGUGGUCUCUCUGCACUUCUGUCCGAUUUAGCAUCUUCUUCAAUGCCAUUGCUCUUUCGCCCUCCAUUUUCCCUGGGGGCGUCACACUCCAAAUCAGCCUCUUCAGUCUUUCUGUGAGGAAGUGCUUUUUCUGUAGCCAAAGGGGAUUGGUUCCCAACUGCAAAUUGAGAGAACCCCACUGAUAUAGUGUAGUAGAAAUCAAAAAGCUUAAAUAACAAAGAGAAUUAUCCAUGCCAGAAAGCUUUAGCAAACAAAGCAAGAAAAUUGGAAGUAGAAAACAAGAAUAUCAAAGUAUCCAACAAGCUGUUAUCCUUUUUGGCAGGUGCAUGCGAAAUAAUAGCAUUAUCAAGGGAAAUAGAAAACAUAUAACUUAAAAUGACGGGUUUCAGAACCAUGUCAAAUUUUCCUAGAAAACUUCUAGUCAAUCAAAAUUUUGAGAAAGCAGUCCAAAAGCUCCAACACUUACCACUUUUCUGAGAAGGCUCUUUAUGCUUCUGUGGUUUUCCUCUAUCAUCACUGUCACUGCUGCUUUCACUGCUACUCUCACUGUCAUCAUCUGUAAGGCUAUCCGAAGCCCUGAUAAAAAUGAGGAUAUAGUAAUUUAAGUUCUAUAAGAUACUUAACAAGGCUAAUCUGCUCAUUCAUGACCUCGAAGCAUUAUAUCCCAGUUUGGGUUGUGCGGAUGGGAAAGAUUUUGGAAAAUACCACAAGAUGUACUAACAAAAAUAAUUACAAGGGACAAAAACCAUGAUAUUUUCUAAAUAAAUCUUCACCAAGCAAGUGAGAUAAACACAUAAAGUUCUACUUCCCCAAAGACACAACUGACAACUGAACGUCAAAGCAUGGAAAUAUGCAAAUAACUUCUCCAUAAUAUUUAUAGUUGCUAUGCAUGGACAUAAUUAGACUACAUAUGCAACUCAUAUUAUGACUUAGGAACAGACAAAUCCUGAACAACUUUAGUAAUUCACCAAGACUGAAGGUUUUGUAUCAUAAAAACCAACCAUUAGUAAUCAAAAAAUUCUUUUUCUAAGGGAAAAAAAGAGGAAAGGACAUCCUCUAACGCAUCACACUGGAGGCCAAGGAAACAGUGCCAGGAUCAAAACGUACUGAUUACAUUUAGAAAACAUUUGACUCCUCAUACACAGCUGAACAAGCAAAAAACUAAACAAAAUAUGCACAGGACUCAAGUUGAUUAACUGGUAAUUUGCCAGAAGAGAAGACACUGUUAUGAAGCAUAAAUAGAUUAUAAGCAUAUAACCUUCUUGAUUUACGCUUUGAUCUCUUAUCACGCCUUUUUCUCUUUUUCUCAAGUCGUCUAUCUCUCCUUUUUCCACGUCUAUAUUUUCCUCGUUUAGAAGACCUCUUCCUCUUUUUGUGCCCAUUAUCACUUGAAGAGCUAAUGUCAGACGAUGAUGAGAGAUAUGAGUCAGAAUCACUAUCAGAUUCAGAUGAUUCUGUCUCAGAAUCUGAGGAACUCUCCGAAUCAGACGAAUAAUGUCUUCUUCUCUUCUUUCUUUUGUCUCUUGAAGAUUUCUUAUUUUUCGCCUUCCUCCGUGAUUCAUAAUUGUCAGCAGCAGAAAAAGCAUCUUUGCCCGUUCUAAACUUAUUUUUCCUAUUGUCUGCAGAUAAGAUAAAAGAUUGAAAAGAAAAAUAAAAAAGGAAUGGUGGUCAAGCAUCAUGCAGCAGCAUACAGGGAGUAACUUUGGCAGGUCUACCAUAAAUUAGAUCAUAAUAUUCCAUAUUAAGAAGUAUACCCUCCAUUCAGAUAUGACUAUGACCUAUACCUUCACCGACUUCACCACAAUUAAUAAUUUUCACUGUCACAGUAGGUAUUCCUUCCUCAUUACCCACAUUUUCCAUUUUCUUCAACACUUCAUUUCCUUGUACAAGCUGUCCAAAGACUACAUACUUUCUGCAACAUGCCACAAGUACAAAAACUCAAGAUCCAAGACUGAAUAAUAUUUAAACUGAGCAAAGCAUACAUCAGGGGAGGUUGGGCACCGAGCACAAAUAUUUAAAGAAGAUAAGAAACUACCUGUCAAGGUCAUGAUUAGCCUUGAAUGUGAUAACAAAUUGUGAACCAACAGUGUCACGAUCAGCAAUUGCCAUAGACAAAAGACCAGGUCCGUCAUGCUUUAGCCUAGGUGAUUCAUCUGAACAAGAGUCGAAAUCACCCCUUGUUACUAAUCAAUUAUUAGUGAACGCUUCCAAAAUAUAUAUAUUAGUGAAAAGAAUAAUAGCUUAUAGUCACAUUCUAGAAGAAUAAUCAUAAGCGUGGAAUUAAAAGCAUUAGAUUUCAAACAGUAAACGUUCUUUCUUUGAAUGCUGCCCUUGACAGUUUGUGGAGUAUCAUAAAAUUUAGCAUUUAAUACAGUCCUUAAAUGAUUUAGCCAUCAGGUCAUUAUGUUAGCACCAACCGAUUCUCAAGGACCUCCAGAUUAUUGACGAAAAAAGGUAUGAACCAGGCAUUGAUGGUGAAAAAUAAAACCUAUACAGUAAUUUGGAGAAUGCAUAUUGCUCUGUCAAAAAAGCCUUUUAGGUGAAGAUAGGCUCACAUCAAGAGCCAUAGAAGCACCUACUAUAUACAAUCUUAAUGCAAAAGACAGCUUUUGCAAAGAUUCUGAGAACACCUAUUGCUCACUCAUAAACAUUUCAAGAGUAGAUAUGCCCAAAUCUAAGAGUCAAGGAAAGAACCUAUUACAAUGUUAUCCAGGUAUAAUAACCCUAACAUCUAACCUGAAAUUAGGUCCAAAAUAAUUUGAUAAAUUCCAUAUUAUAUAGCAAAAAUUAAAAAUUGAAGAUAAAGAUUUGAGAUUUUACGCACAAAGUGAAUAUAAAUACAUUAAACACAUAUGCAUUAGCAACACAAUUAUAACUUGAUAACAACAAUAGAAAUUUUGAUCACUUAUGGAGAGUACAAUACUAUGUAUAUUAGCAUGUAUGACCACUUCCAUCACGUACAGGAUUAUAAUCUAGUUAGAAUAUUAUUAAAUUUUCAUGCACAAGUAGUAAUUACAAACAAAAGCAUGUGCGUAACACAAAUAGUAAAAAGUUUCUACAGCCAAGGAAAGAACUUAAUACAAUGUGAUCCUGGUAUAAAUAACCCUAAUACCAAACCUGAAAUCAGGUCCAAAACAAAUUGACAAAUUCCAUAUUAUAUAGAAACAAAUUAUAAAUUAAAAAUAAAGUUUUGAUAUUUUGACCAAUUCACAAGAAUAUAAACACAUGCAUUAGCAACACAAUUAUAACUUGAUAACAAAAUUAGAGAUUUUGAUCACUUGAGGAGGAUACAAUACUACUUAUAUUAGCAUGCAUGACCACUUCCAUCACACAGAUUAUAAUCUAGUUAGAAUAUUAUUAAUUUUCCAUGAACAGAGAGUAAUUACAAACAACAAAAGCAUGUGCAUAACACAAAUACUAAAACGUUUAAAACAUUUACAUGAAAUGAUUGAAUUUUAAUAUAUUACAAGAAAGGAGAAUCCUGUACCAUAACACAAAUAGUACACUGUUUAAAUCAUUUCCAUGAAAUAAUAGGAUUUUAAAAUAUUAAAAGAAAGAAGAAUCUUGCAUCCACUCUUCAUUAAUUUAGGACACCUAAACUAAGACUGUAACCAUGGAAUGCCGGAAGAUAUCACUCACCUGGAAAUUUCCCAUCAUAUAUACUUUCCCCACUUGUUCCUGGAAAAAGUACAAUUAAAAUAUCAAAGUGCUUUUCAAGAACAACUUCAACCAGCAGUCACAUAGACAGCAACCCUCAAGGCCACCUUAUCUCAAGUCAAUUUACAGCUGCAAAAAUAAUUAAAAUGAAAUUCCUCUCUGCAAGGAAUGCGUACCAUCUCUUCUUACAAAAUCACCACCCUGCACAACAAACAUAUGAUGUCAGUCCACGAGUAAGAAAAAAGACAUUUAUGUGCAAAGAAUCUGGGUAGAACACGGCAAAGUUUAGUAAAAUUUUGAGGAUUCACAGCUUGAUUAAUACAACCUUAAAAACUACAUCACAAGAAAAGCAGUCAUGGCCAUCAGUCCCGUUUCCUACAGCAUAAACAAUCAUAACAGACCAAACGACAUGCCACUUCUAAGACAUGUUCUACAAGAAAACAGCUAGUGAAAAAUCCCAUUUUGAAGAUAAAACAAACCUUGGCCAAGGAACCUUUAGAGACACGAUGGAAAAAGGAACCCUUGUAGUGCAACGGUUUUCCAGUUCUAGGACCAAUGCCCUUUUCUCCUGUAGAUCAAGGCAUAUUUUAAGGACGCAGCAAAUACAAACAUAUAAAUGUCUAUGAAUAAAUGUCUGAUACUAACUCAAAUUCUUAUGCAUGUGUGCUUAUCUAUACUAACUUAAAAUCCCUGAGUUUGGCGUGUUAAGUAGUCUCCAACUCAGGGGAAGACAAAUUAAACUAAUUUACUGGAGAAAACUAGUGCAUCAAUAAAGCCAAAAAAGUGAUUUCAUCUUUAAAAAAAAAAAAAUCACUGCUACCUUUUCACAUGCAGUUGUAAAUCCAUUUUCAUUUUUUUUCUUCAUUUAAUUAUAAUUACAUUUUUUCAGAAAACAUUAGUCAAGUAAUUUUAUUUUUAUUUUUUCACCCACAUGGCUGUGUAUGGAACUAGCAUAUAGUAAACAAUUACAACCCAAAAACUAUCUUGCCGCUAACCACCAAUGCAUCGUUGAAUGGGAAAAAAAUCAUAUACAACAAAAACUUAAAGAGUAAAGAAGAGGAAUUAUUCUUAAUAUAGUAAUUUAAAAAAUUCUAGGGAAAAAGGGAUAAUAACAAUAGGAAAUAAGAAUAUUGGAACCUGUACAAAGGGCACGGAAGUUUUCUACAGUCUUGGGAGCAAUAUCAGGAAAGAGCUGAAGAAUCAAAGAAAACAGAUAAAUAUGUGUAAAAACAUAAUCUCCAAUAUACAUAUAUCUAUAAACCCAAUGUAUACUAAUUCAAAACAAGAGUAUAUGGGCAAAAAUGUAAAGACUUGUUGGCUUGUUUAUGUAGCUAAAACAAUACCUCAAAAACCAUUCUUUCAACAGGAUCACCAUCUAUUGACACAUCCAUAAAAACUAGAGGAUUCUUCUUCUUUGCCAUCCUUGCUCACCAGAUUCACAACUCAAGCCAGUACAACCAACAAUCUAAUCAAACAACAAGCCGCUACAAUCAGCCAAUCAAAAUUAAUAUUGAUGCACACUAAAUGAAAGUAAAAAAGAGAAAACACUGAAACCUACUUCGUCAACGCAUUGCCAAAUUCACCAAUCUUCAUUAAAGAAUAUAGCAAAGCAGAAAGGACCUUUUCCCCUAUAUAUGCAUUAUUUCUUUCGUUUGACUUAACUGUUUCAAGAUAUUAGUCAAGAUUUAGCAGAAAAUGGAUUAUAUAAAAAUAGAUUUUCACAUGCACAGUAUAUUUCGAGAUUGGGAAGAAGCAAAUGGAAAACAUUGCAGGUAUCUAUAAUACCUGGAAAAUAUUUCUUGUCCUAUUUCAGCUUUGUGAAAAUCAUCCUAGCAUUUCCAAACAUACUGAUUGCAGGAAGCAAGAAAACAUGAAGAAAAUCAGGUUGAAAGAUUUGAAAAGAUGGAACCUAUGCCCUAGCCAUUAGAGCAAUUACAUAAUUAAACUAGUGAAUGAAUGCACUAAAUCAGAAUCCCAUAUCAGAAAAAGAAAAACAAGGCUAUUAGAGACCUCCUUCCCAAACGAAAACAGAAGCAGACACAGUCCUAAAUAGUGAGCCAAAUAAUAUCAUAACGAAAUCAAGCUGAAAACCUUAAACCCUGGAGAAACCAGCAGAAACACUUAAACUACAAGCUUAUAAUAAACUCUACCUUAAACUCGAAAACCGAAGAAUCAUACAAAAACUAAAAUAUACAUAAACAUAUUAUAACGAAGUAAGCAAAAAAGAAACAUAACAAAAAUAACUACAUAAGCAUUGGAUCAGAAAAUAUUCUUUAAAGAAAAGGGGAAAGGGGAAGAUAGUGCAAUAGUAAGUGAUAAAGGCAGAAACCCUAGAAAGUUCACCUGACCUGAGAGAUGCAGAGCCACAGAGAAAAAAGACCGAGUGAUGAUUAUACGAGAGAAAAUGAAACCGAAGGCUUAACGGGCUUUCUUUCGGCUUAUGAAGGCAGCCUCCACUGGCCUGGAUACUUACAUUUGGCAACGAAAUUACUGGAUUAUCCUGAUGUUGAGUUUCUGAUUGUGCGGCUUGGGCCCGUUUUAUAAUGGGCUAACAUCGGGUAUCUAUUAGGUUUUUCAUUGCACCAUCGACCCAAUUAUGAUUGGUUUUCUUUUCUAGAAAUUAUAAAUGUGUAAUACAUUGAUUUUUGCAUGUUAUGAGACUCAUAUUCUAAUACGAUUAGUGGCGAAAUUAGGGGCUCGCACGGUCCGGCCCCUAAACUGAAAAUUUUUAUAUGAUCUUUUUAAAAAUUUUAAAUUUUAAAUUAGUAAAAAUAAAAUUACAUUUUAACUCUUUUUAAAAAUAUAAAAAUUUGAUUUAAUUCUCUAAAAAUUAUAAAUAUAUAGUCUAUUAAAAUGGUGAAUUGCAUUUUUUUCUAUCGUAAAAAUUAUAAUUUAAUUUCGACCCUCUAAAAAAAAUUUGAUUUCGCCCCGGCAUACGAUACAUGGUAUUAUGAAAUAAAUCAUCUUUCUAUAAAUCAUGUAUGUGUCAUGGUACAUUAAACUGUGGAAUGUAUAAUCCUCUAUAUAUUUAUAACCAAUAGAGAUGUUUCAAUAAAAAUGAAUAGUAACAACUAUGUCCUAAAGAAUUAGAAUUUCUAAGAAUAUUUCUAUUUUGAUUUUUCUCUACUUAUUCGCAUAUUUAUAAUAUAUUAUCAGCAUGAUCAAAUAUUUAAUGGUGUGGUAAAACCAUUCAAGUUUCUUUUCAUUACGAUAAGGUAAGAGUUUUUACUUUUCUACCAUAUAUUAUCUAGGAAUCUAGGAUAUGUUCUUAUUUGUAGGAUAAGUAAUGUUUUUAUUUUUAAAUUGUCUAUAAUGUGAUUUUUAAAGAAUUUUUAUAUUUUUAAUAUACUUAUAACUACCUUUACAAUGUCAAAUCUUGUUACUUUAAUAUGUUGGUAGAAAAUGUUUGUCAUGGGUGCAUGAUGGUAUUCAUUUAGAAACAAUGGAUUUUUAGAAAUGCCAAAAAAUAUCAAGCAUGCAGGAUUGCUAAGUAAAAUUGUUUGUCUUAAUAAGUACCUAUUAUUGUUAAAGACCCAUUACCCAUUAGCUCAAAAGAAAGAUGCAAACAUCAAAAGGUAGUGAUUCUUUCAAAAUUUUGAUAUGAAUAGAUACGAAUGUAAAAUUUUAAAAAAGUUAAGUGAAUAUAGUUUCAAAAAUAGAGAGAAAAUUAUCGAUGAAAAUAUGUUCAAAUAACAUAUUCAAUUUUUCAUGCCUUGAAUGUGUGCUUACAAUAACAAUAUCGAAAGCAUAGAUUUAUAAUAUUUUGAGCUAAUCUAUUAUGUGCUUGUGGCUGGAUAAAAUAGUGAUAUUUUUUUAUAAAGAAACCACCAAUGUCAUCCAACUGGUUAAACCAUUCCUUUGACAUUUUCUCAAGGUUGUAAGAGUACAUCUCCUUGGAGGCUAUUUUAUAAAUGAGGAGCACCCCUAGAUAUUUUUUCAAGUCAUCAGUUAAAGGCAUGUCACAUACUUGACUUAAACGAGAAGCGACCGUUACAUGGAUAUUAGGCUAGAUAAAGAGCUUAAAAUUUUCUAGAUUAACAGCCAAAACCAAUAGUAAGCUGAACUCUUUAAGACAAUCAUUUAUCACUCACACUUGUAUCUCUGUCGCCUUUGCAAAAAGUAACAAAUUGUCGGCAAAGAAAAGAGGGACAAAAUUGAUCAUUGCCUAGAAUUAUUUUUUAAUUAAAAUACAAUAAAAAUACAACCUCAAGCCAACUUUGUUGGCUGUCAAGGUGUUCAGCUUCUUAAUAAAUUGAAUGAAAAUUGAGUGUAACCUCACCAAGAGACUACUAAUACGUAACAAAGGUUAUCAAAAACAAUUUCAAAUACUAGAAAAUUUUAAAUUUAAAAUAAUAAUAAUAAUAAUAACAAUAUUUAUAUACAAAUUUAAAGUUUUUAUUUAAUUUUCAAAGGAAAAAAAAAAGUGAUCCCACAUAUCACUAAAGCUUCUCUUCGUGAUCACUGUUCAAAGCCAUUUAACUUGUAAUAAAAAGAGUUAUUUCAAAUUCUAAAAUCCAAUGUCUGAAGUUCAGAUUUGCAUGAAAAUCGCAUCAAUAGAUAUCACACUAUCGACACCAGACUUUAUAAUGAGCUUUUAAACUUAUUUUGAAGAGAAAAACCUAGUUUUCAACAUUUGGAACAUUAUUUAAUAAAUUUUAAAAUCUUUUUCAAAAACAUUUCUUAAAUUUUUAUAUAAAAAUUUCAAGUUUAAGUAUAAAAUAAUAUACACAUAAAAAAAUUAAAAUUAACAUAAAAAUUAAAUAAAAAAUAAAAAUAAUUUUUGUAACCAAGGCACACCGCAAACUAAAAUAGAAGACUAGUUCCCGAUGGUCAUCAAUUGAAGGAAAAUUUGUCCAACACAUUAAUUAAAAGCUACAACUAACAACAGACUCUAUAAAGCUACACAAGAUUCUUGGGGAUGAUGCUACUGCACUAACAAAUACAGAGACUCUUCCUAACCCCUAACAGCAACAAGGUUCGCAUACUAUUCAUUAUUUUUAUUUAUAACGAAGUAAAAUUAUCCUAAAUAAGCAUGACAGGCCAACAACAACAACAACAACCAUCUCAAUGAAAAUACUUAGAAUCGGAUUAAUGUAAUUACUGACCACAACCUCUGGCAACAACACAAAUCAGAGACAAGAAGUUCGUAAAACAGCACAGUUCAGUGCAUCAACAGAAGAUGGGGCUCAUCAAACACUAAACAAAAAUCUUCAACCAACUUUCACUCUAUUUCACCUUCCUGAAUCAGGUGAACCAUCAUCAUAAGAGACCAGUCCCCUUCCACUGUCUGGACUUCCUGAUGAUGACCUUGACUUCGCUUUGCUCACCUUCUUUGGAGACUGAGAGUUUAACGAAGACCUUGAUUCUGAUCGGCUCCUGCUCUGUGAAGGGGACCUUCGCCUUCCAGCCCUUGGAGAAUCUACUGGACUACGGCUGCGAAUAGGGGUUCGACUUCGACUUGGGCUACGGCUGCGAAUAGAGGUUCGACUACGACUUGGGCUACGACUUGGGCUAUGACCAUAGCGACGAUUUCUAUACCUCGGGCUCGGUGAUACAGACAGACUUCUUGUCCGGCUUCUUCUGCCUCUAUACCUGCAAAAAUUAUUUUUAUUAGGAAUCAAGUAACAAAACUCAAACCACCCAAUGACCAUAGCUACAAGAAGAGCAAAAAACACACACAAACACAUAAUUUGCCAACAGAUUCAUACCUUGGAGGAGUUCUUCCUCUUGGGGGGCUUCUAUAGCGCCUAGGUGAAUACCGCCUGUAACUUGAAUACCUAGAAUUGGCAAUUAAUAGAAAAACCACCCAUCGGUAAAAUAUAUAAUGGUUUUCUGGAAAAAAAAAAAAAGGGAGUAUAACAUAAAAGAACCUGAUGGGACAUGUACCUCUCACGAUCAAUCCUGCCACUGAAACGAUAGGACCUCACAGGAGAACGAUCUGGAGAAGGGGUUCUGUAUCUUCGUGCAUAAGAGUAGCGCUCACUGAAACCCCGACCCCUUCUGAUACGCUUAGGUGAUGCGUCAGGAGAAACACUUGUUGACAUACUUCUACCUCGACCAGGAGGUGACCUUACCCGCCGCACAGUGGUGGGGCUCCUUGAAUAACUACGACGAUAGUUCCUACUUGGUUCCCUUAAUGGACUUCUGCUGAUGCUUCUCCU
rnacentral:lncRNA from 1 species